UACGACCGUAUCACGUUGAAAUACUAGUUCCCGUACGAUUACCGAAUUUAGUCAACGUUGACUCUGGUCAGUACCAAGAUGGGUGACCUCUUGGGAAUACCAGGUGCUGUAAG